rnacentral:rRNA from 1 species
AUUGAACGCUGGCGGCGUGCCUAACACAUGCAAGUCGAGCGGUAACAGGUGUAGCAAUACAUGCUGACGAGCGGCGGACGGGUGAGUAACGCUUGGGAAUCUGCCUAUUAGUGGGGGACAACCCGGGGAAACUCGGGCUAAUACCGCAUACGCUCUACGGAGGAAAGCCGGGGACCGCAAGGCCUGGCGCUAAUAGAUGAGCCCAAGUCGGAUUAGCUAGUUGGUAGGGUAAUGGCCUACCAAGGCGACGAUCCGUAACUGGUCUGAGAGGACGACCAGUCACACCGGAACUGAGACACGGUCCGGACUCCUACGGGAGGCAGCAGUGGGGAAUAUUGGGCAAUGGGCGAAAGCCUGA